UACAGAGGGUGCAAGCGUUAAUCGGAAUUACUGGGCGUAAAGCGCGCGUAGGUGGUUCGUUAAGUUGGAUGUGAAAUCCCCGGGCUCAACCUGGGAACUGCAUUCAAAACUGACGAGCUAGAGUAUGGUAGAGGGUGGUGGAAUUUCCUGUGUAGCGGUGAAAUGCGUAGAUAUAGGAAGGAACACCAGUGGCGAAGGCGACCACCUGGACUGAUACUGACACUGAGGUGCGAAAGCGUGGGGGAGCAAACAGG
rnacentral:rRNA from 1 species